rnacentral:rRNA from 1 species
AUUGAACGCUGGCGGCAGGCCUAACACAUGCAAGUCGAACGAGUGGCGGACGGGUGAGUAAUGUCUGGGAAACUGCCCGAUGGAGGGGGAUAACUACUGGAAACGGUAGCAAAUACCGCAUACCAUCGGAUGUGCCCAGAUGGGAUUAGCUAGGAGGUGGGGUAACGGCUCACCUAGGCGACGAUCCCUAGAGGGUCUGAGAGGAUGACCAGCCACACUGGAACUGAGACACGGUCCAGACCCCUACGGGAGGCAGCAGUGGGGAAGAUUGCACAAGGGGCGCAAGCCUGAUGCAGCCAUGCCGGGUGUAUGAAGAAGGCCUUCGGGUUGUAAAGUACUUUCAGCGAGGAGGCGUUACUCGCAGAAGAAGCACAGGCUAACUCCGUGCCAGCAGCGCGGUAAUAC